CAGCCUGGAAACAUAAAAGGAGGACUCGGCAAGGGAGACGCGCUGACAGCCCGCCCGCUUGGAGCAAAGCCAGAGAAGUGUCUGCGGGUGUCUAUGAGCCACACAUGCAUACAAAUGCCCCCCUCCAACGGGACCAUUCACCCCCUUCCUUCCUUCCUUCCCUCCCUCCCCUUUGGAGACGCGCUUUCCUCCUCCUUCUCCUCCCAGUUUUUGCGCACGAGAAAGAGAGCCACCCGCGCCCUCUUCAGCCGGGCCAGCAGCCAAAAAGGGAAGCAGCCGGGCCCCUCGGCCUGGCAGAGAGAGAAAGAGGCGCUGGGCCGGGCAGGAGACAAGGAUUCGCCCCCUUUUCCCCCUGCCCUUUGCUCACCCCGUUGCUGCGGAUCGCAGGGAGCCAGCCAAGCUCUUGCGCGCAGUCUCUUUCUCUCGUGCGCUCCAACACCGAGGCCGUCCCUUUCCACUGCUUGCGGAAAUAUCCACCGCCUCUUUCCUUCUCCCUUCGUGGCUGGAAACGGCCUUACCGGACGGCCCCCUUUCCUGCGUACCGCAGCACUGCUUUGUUGACGCGGCUUUGCUCCCUUUUCAGCUGCGGCAGGAGGAAUCGCCCAGGACGCUGGGAUGGAUCCCCCAGAAUGGAUUUCGGGAUCCUCCGCCUUGGAACAGCCAGAAAGAACCAGUGGGUUUUAUUACUGCGUCUUUAUCAUCGCUUCUGAGCAUAGGAAGUGUCUUUUUCCCCCUCUUUCCACGCAGAGGAAAAACUUGGGAGGCGGGGCUCGAGGGGGUGGACUGCAGUCCCUUGCAGAAGAAGCCCCUCCAUGAGAAUAAAUGAGUAAAAUAAAAAUACCUGUGGGUUGUUGAGAGAAGUCCAAAACACCCAACCUUUUUUUGACCAGGAACCAUAGAAUCAGAGAGUUGGAAGAGACCUCGUGGCCCAUCCAGUCCAACCCCCUGCCAAGAAGCAGAAAGUUAAAUUCAAAGCAUCCCUGACAGAUGGCCGUCCAGCCUCUGCUUCAAAGCCUCCAAAGAAGGAGCUUUCAGCACACUCCAGGGCAGAGAGUUCCACUGCUGAACAGCACUCACAGUGGGGAAAUUCUUCCUAAUGUUCAGGUGGAAUCUCCUUUCCUGUAGUUUAAAGCCAUUGUUCUGCAUCCUAGUCUCUAGGGCAGCAGAAAACAAGCUUGCUCCCUCCUCCCUAAGACUUUCCCUCACAUAUUUAUACAUGGAUAUCAUGUCUCCUCUCGGCCUUCUCUUUUGCAGGCUAAACAUGCUCAGCUCUUUAAGCCGCUCCUCAUAGGGCGUGUUCUCCAGACCCUUGAUCAUUUUAGUUGCCCUCCCCUGAAUACCGUCCAGCUUGUCAACAUCUCCUUUCAACUGCGGUGCCCAGAAUUGGACACAGUGUGAUUCCAGGUGUGGUCUGACCAAGGCGGAAUAGAGGGGGAACAUGACUUCCCUGGAUCUAGACACUAGACUCCUAUUAAUGCAGGCCAAAAUCCCAUUGGCUUUUUAAACCGCCACAUGACAUUGUUGGCUCAACAUUAGUACCAAAAGUACGAAUUUUGGUUAGUACGAAUCAGUUUUUGGUCAACUUUAGAUUCAGUUGGUUAUUAGGGGUGCUGGUUUAGAAAAGUGCAUUGGAUAAACCACAUCAGCUCUAGUUUCUGAUACAGAACACAUCCCAUCCAAUAGUUGCCAUCUGCUCAUCCACAGAAAACCAUAUUUAAUAAUCUAGAGCUGGUGUGGCCUAUCCAAUGCAAUUUUCUGAAUCGGCACUCCCCAAAUGACCCUAGGAACAGGCCUAAAAACAAAAAUAACCAAAGCACACCCGUUUCCAGGCUCCACAUGGAAUGGCUCCGCUCACCAGGAGGGAGGAGGAAGAGAAACAGCAGUCAGGAGGCUUUUUACACCUUUCAUGGGUAGUCAGCCUCUCUACUCCUGACAUUCCAGUUGUCUCGGCACUAUAAGAGGAUUUCACAAGACCAGUUGCUCUCUUUGCAACAGUGUAGUAACAGUGAGGCUGCGGACUAUAUUUUAGUUCUUGGGGACCACAGGUUGGGAACCACUGCUGUAGAACGAAUCCACUUUAACUGUAUUGGUUCAGUGCUAUGGAGUAAUGGGGCUGUAGUUUUGCAAGGUUUUGAGCCGCCUCUGCCAAACAGUGUGGGUGCCUUGCUAAACUACAAAUCCCAAGAUUACAUAGUAUUGAGCUAUGACAAUUAAAUUACAGAUGGCAUCCCUCAAAUAGGAGCUUCAGGUGCUCCUAAAGCAGCUUCCCCUUUUGCUUUGGCUCAGCAAAGAUUACAUUAUAUGAAUCUAAUGCGGACCCUAAUAUUGGCAAGGUGAUUUAGCCAAAAAAAGUGAGUGUUCAAGUAAAUGCAGUAAUAACAACAGGAUCGUCAGCCUUUGGUAUCCGAUGAGGUUUGGUUCCAGUAUCCCAAAAUUUGUGGUUGAGCAAUCCCUAUUACAUACAAUUACAGUAGAGUCUCACUUAUCCAAAACUCGUUUAUCCAAGGUUCUAGAUUAUCCAAGGCAUUUUUGUAGUCAAUAUUUUCAAUAUACUGUAUCAUGAUAUUUUGGGUCUAAAUUCGUAAAUACAGUAAUUACAACAUAACAUUACUGCGUAUUGAACUACUUUUUCUGUCAAAUUGGUUGUAUAACAUGAUGUUGGUGCUUAAUUUGUAAAAUCAUAAACUAAUUUGAUGUUUAAUAGGCUUUUCCUUAAUCCCUCCUUAUUAUCCAAGAUGUUCGCUUAUCUGGCCCGUUUAUUUUGGAUAAGUGAGACUCUACAUUACAUUUAAGCUUCUUGAAUAUUUCCACUGUUGUUCUUCUUACUGUUAUCUUUAUUUAUUUCUACCCUAAUUGUUCCUGAGAACUGGGACUAAAGGCAACUUUCAAAUUAAUACAGAUGUAGCACUGUUUAAAAAUAAAAAUAAAAUCCCCAGUGUUACAAUAACACUUUAAAAAUGUAAGCAAACAGUCAAAGUGUUGAAGAGCGGCUUGUAAAACUAUAAAUAAAAUAGUGCAAUACACUCAUAAACACCCUUUCUUUUAACCCUUCAGUUCAUGAAUGUAUUGUAUUGUAGUAAAAACUUAUUUCCAUGGUAAUAGGGGGGCAUCCUAUGGUGCAUAUGCACUGUAGAAUUAAUGCAGUUUGAUGCCAUUUUAAUUGCCAUGGCUCAGUGCUAUGGAAUCCUGGGAGUGGUAGUUUUAAAAUGUGCUUAGCUUUCUCUGCCAAAGAGUGCUGGUACUUCAACAAACUCCAGCUUCCAAGAUUCCAUAGCAUUGAGCCAUAGCAGUGAAAUUGGUGUCAAACUGCAUUAAUUCUACAUGUAGAAGUGUCUAGGACAGUUACGGAAGAGGGCCUAACAUUUGUCAUUCACUAACCAUGUCCAGGAAGGUAGUGGGGUUCAUUGGGGAUCCUUCAGUAGACCUGAAUCAAACAAAAAUUUGUAGGCCAUAAUCAACACUUUAAAUUGGGGCUAGAUUCUGGCAAGCCAGUCCUUUUCUGUCAACCAUAUAUCAUAUCAGGCCCAUUUCCUACCAUUUGACCCCCUACCUAUGAGAGUUGAAUGAUGCAACUCGCCAUGUCCAGAACCAGGGCCGUAGCCAGAAAAAAAUUUCGGGAGGGGUUUUGAAAAUUUCGGGGGGGGGGGGGUUUAACCCCUAGCACACACACACACACACACACACACACACACCCCGCAGAUUUCAAUAUCUGCUUGAAAUAGUGCCUGGAGGGACUCUUAAUGUUUUGUGUCUCAUAGACUUAGCAUGGGGAUUUGGUUAACCAGUUAAAAUUCAUGAGUAAACCAGGUUUUUUUUAUAACCUGAAAAAUUUCGGGGGGGGGGGGGUUGAACCCCUAAACCCCCCCCCCCCCCCUCCCGGGCUGUCCAGAAACGAGCUUUGAAGGGUCCUAUGACCCCUACCCCCCCGGGAGGGGGGCUUCCGAAAAA
rnacentral:lncRNA from 1 species